GAGAGCCGAGGCAGCCUACAAACAGGCCCUACAAGUGAGGGUAAGAGGACACUAGCUUGGCUAGUUGUGGAGCAGUUGCCUGGGAAGAAGGACUCCAGUGGCCUCAAUGGAGCAAGGGCUCAGGCACGGUCCAGCUCAGCGUAGGGAGCAAUGAGGCCUGAAAGGCAGGGACGUUGUUCCUGUCGACCUCCCCUCUGAGUUCCUGUGGGACUAGGGGUGGGGACUAUGGAGCCGGGUGAGUGGAAAAACCAGAGAGGACUGCUGGUUUUGGACUUCAGCACUGCCGUGGUAUCAGGAGGAAGAGGGUGGGGCUCCCCAUCCUGUGCGAAACAAGCAGCAGAAAUUACUCAUGGCUGUCUGCACAUCUUUGCCAUGGGAUGUCUGGCGUGCCCAGCCCUGGAAGCUGAGGGCUGGACCUGUUCACAGAACUGUCUGUGCCUGGUUAGAAACUUUCUCAGAGUUCUGGGUUACAGAGAGGUGUCUGGGACUCACUGUCAAAGAAUUACUAUCCCGACAUCUUUACACAUUAAAGCAUCGAACAAGUCUCCUUUUCAA
rnacentral:lncRNA from 1 species